CUAGGAAUCGCCCCAUGGGGAGGGGGUGCGAUUGCCCCCAGCCCAGCUGAGAGGAGAGCCAGGGGCAUUAACACGUGUCCUGAAACCCGGGGCUACUUGCACCCCCAGCCCCUACGCGCUGCAGGGUCACUGGAUCUGGGCUUCAACUGGAGUAUUGUGUCCUGUUCUGGGCGCCACAUUUCAGGAUGGAUGUGGAUAAAUUGGAGAGAGUCCAGAGGAGAGCAACAAAAAUGAUUAAAGGUCUAGAAAACAACUGAAAAAACUGAGUUUUUCUGGAGAAGAGAAGACUGAAGGGAACCAUGACAACUGUCUUCAAGUAUGUAAGAGGUUGUUACAAAGAGAAGGGUGACAAAUUGUUCUCCUUAUACACGAAGGACAUGACAAGACUAAUGGGCUUACAUUGCAGCAAGGGAGACUUAGGUGAGAUAUUAGGAAAAACAUCCUGUCAGGGUAGUUAAGCACUGGAACAGGUUACCAAGGGAGAGUGUGGAAUCUCCGUCAUUGGAGAUUUUUCAGAAUAGGCUGGACACACACCUGUCUGGAACGGUCUAGAUAAUACUUGAAAGUGCCUCAGUGCACGGGACUGGAUGAGCUAUCAAGUCCUACAUUUUUAUGAUUCUAUCCCCAGCUCUGGGAGGGGAAUGAGGUUUAGUCAGCUGGGAGGAAGUCAAGAGUCCCAGGUUCUAUCUAUGGCUCUGGGAGGGGAGUGGGGCCUAGUGGAUUGGGGGCUGGGACUCAACUCCGGGGUUCUCUGCCCCAGUUCUGAGAGGGGAGCAGGGCCACAUGAAUGGAGCAGCACCAGCCCAAGGACAGGGUCUCCACCCCAACCCCUCUCAGCCAUCAUGGCAGCGAAGAGGGUGAUGGGAUGCAGCAUUCCCCUUAAAUUUCACUGGCGGGAUGAAGGCUCUGGGGUCAUGGGACAACCCUUCCAUCUUAGCAGCUCUUAACUCUCCAGUGCUGGGUGACAGGUUAGAAAAGGAGACACCCCUUUCCCAUUCCCCCGGAGUAUGAAAGCCAUGAGCUGCCGCCUGGCAGUGCCCUGGCUGACCACACGCAAAAAUUUUGCCAAUAUUUUAAAAGGGUAACCAGGAUGACCUGGAUAAUCAUAGGCCUGUCAGCCCGACCUCAAUCCCACUGAAGAUAAUAGAUCAGCUGUUGGGGGACUCCAUUAAUAAAGGAAAGCACUGUAAUUAAUAUCAAGCAGCAUGGGUUUAUGAACAAUAGAUCCAGUCAAACUUUCGUAACUUUGGAUGAGAUGACAAGUGUGACUGACACAGGCAAUAGUGUUGAUAUAUUUAGACUUCGGUAAGGCCUUUGACUUGGUACCACAUGAUAUCCUGAUUAAAAAACUAGAACGCUAUAAAAUUAACAUGACCCACCUUGAAGGGAUUAAAAGCCAGCUAACUGGUAAGUCUCACAAUGUAACAGUAAAUGGGGAAACACCAUUGAAUGGAUGUGUUUCCACUGGGUCCCGCAGGGAUCAGUUUGUGGCCCUACAUUAUUUAACAUUUUUGUCAGUGACCUGGAAGAAAACAAAAUCAUCACUGAUGAAGUUUGCGGAUGACACAAAAAUUGAGUGGGAAAUAAUAAAGAGGACAGGUCACUGACAGAGCGACUGGGUCGGCUGGUAAAUUGGACACAAUGUGUGUUUUAAUACAGCCAAGUGUAAAUGUAUAGGAACAAAGGACGGGGGCCGCGCUUACACAAUGGGGGACUCUAUCCUAGGAAGCAGGGACUGAGAAAGUUUUGGGGAUCUUGGUGAAUAAUCAGCUGAACGGGAGCUCCCAGGAUGACGCUGUGGCCAAAGGGCUAAUGCAAUCUUUGGGGGCGUAAACAAGGGAAUCGCGAGUAGGCGCAGAGAGGUUAUUUAACCUCUGUAUUUGGCUCUGGUGCAACUGCUGCUGGAAUCCUGUGGCCAGUUCUGGUGCCCAGAAUUAAAGAAGGAUGUUGAGAAAUGGGAGAUGGGUGAGAGAAGAGCCACGAGAAUGAUUAAAGGAUUAGAAAACCUGCCUCCUAGCGACAGACUCAAGAGCUCGGUCUAUUUCACUUAAGAGAAGGGUAAGGGGUGGACUUGAUCCCAGUCUGUAAGUACCUCCACACGGGGAACAAAUAUUUAAUCAUGAGUUUUUCACUCUACCAGAGGAAGAUCUAACACUGUCCAAUGGCUGGAAGUUGAAGCUCAACAAACUCAGAGUGGAAUAAAGGUGUGCAUUUUAAACAUAUCUCGUCAGCGUCGGCGUACACCUCCACCUUCUUCUGCUUCUCCAGCUUGCGCCGCAGCCGGGAGAUGUCCUCCUGGGGUGCAGGGAAGAUCCAGUCAGCAAGAGGGCCCAGGCCCUCCACUGCCCCUCCCCGCAGUAUGACCCACAGGCUCCUGCCCCCUACCUGGGCCCUCUUGAGGUUGAAGGACUCCUUCUCCUUGGCAGCGCGGUUCUCGGCCAUGCAGGCCUGGAUCUCCUUCAGCUUGCACUGAACGUGCUCCUGCUGCACCUUCAGGUCCUCGGCCAGCUGAGCCGCUUCCACCGCCUGUGGGAGGAGGGAAUGUCAAUCAUUGUGAGCUUCCCCCUGAGCAGUGCCUGAGAACUGAUACAUACAAAUGAUGUAAUGGAAACAAACAAAGGAAACUGAUUCUCUUUUACACAAAGGCCAUUUUACAUCAUUCAGUGUAAAAUGGGUGUCAAAUUAAAUUACAUUAAAAGUGGUGUAAGUUAAAUUA